rnacentral:misc_RNA from 1 species
UCUCCGUAGGUGAACCUGCGGAAGGAUCAUUAUUGUAUAACCGAGGUGCGAGGGCUGUCGCUGACCCGAAAGGUCGUGCACGCCCGAGUGCCCUCACACACAUCCAUCUCACCCCUAUAUGCACCACCGCGUGGGUCCCCCUUUGGCUUGUUCGGAGGGGGGCUUACGUUUUCACACAAACUUUGUAUGCAGUGUAGAAUGUAUUUUUUGUUUUUGCGAUCACGCAAUCAAUACAACUUUCAACAACGGAUCUCUUGGCUCUU